rnacentral:rRNA from 1 species
UACGAAGGGGGCGAGCGUUGUUCGGAAUUACUGGGCGUAAAGGGCGCGUAGGCGGCCGAGCAAGUUAGAUGUGAAAGUCCUGGGCUUAACCUGGGGACUGCAUUUGAUACUGCUUGGCUCGAAUUCGGGAGAGGAUAGCGGAAUUCCCAGUGUAGAGGUGAAAUUCGUAGAUAUUGGGAAGAACACCGGUGGCGAAGGCGGCUAUCUGGACCGACAUUGACGCUGAGGCGCGAAAGCGUGGGGAGCAAACAGG